GUCCACGCCAUAAACGAUGACAACUAGAUGUUGGGAGGGUUAGCCUCUCGGUGUCGUAGCUAACGCGUUAAGUUGUCAGCCUGGGGAGUACGGCCGCAAGGUUGAAACUCAAAGGAAUUGACGGGGACCCCGCACAAGCGGUGGAGCAUGUGGUUUAAUUCGAUGCAACGCGAAGAACCUUACCUGGCCUUGACAUCUGUAGAAUCCUGCAGAGAUGUGGGAGUGCCUUCGGGAACGAUAAGACAGGUGCUGCAUGGCUGUCGU
rnacentral:rRNA from 1 species